GUGGAACAUUCCGAAAAUCCUUAACAGAGUAGGAA
rfam:Lutibacter sp. BRH_c52 BRHa_1005630, whole genome shotgun sequence.